UUACGGACAUAUCACGAUGAAACACCGACUCUCGUACGAUCACCGAAGUUAAGCAACAUCAAGCUUGGUCAGUACCUAAAUGGGUGACUGCUUGGGAAUACCAGAUUCUGUAA